rnacentral:lncRNA from 1 species
UCGAAAGAGAUAUAUACUUGAAGUAUUGAAUAUACCUCGUCUCACUAGUGUAAGUUACUAGUCAUCUUCAGGUAUAAUGUUUAAUAUUGAGUGGUAAAAUAUGUGUCAUUUAUGUGUGUUCAGUAAUUAUGAAAAAGUUGUUUAUCAAGAAUAAUCACCAUCUCAGGUACUAUUCAUUGCCUUCAGUGAAGAUUCCAUCUCUAAAUUUAUCAAGAAAUAAUACCACGCUUUGCUAUAUGACUGUUUGCAAUAAAUUUCAAUGUCUACAAUGACCUUGCUGAAACAUCGUCUAUCGAGAAAAUGGACUUAAGUGGCAUGUAGCAUGACUAUGUAGACGUAUUUAGAGAACAAAUGAAGUUGGAUGUAGUGGUGGAGAAAUAUUAUGUUAAGGG